rnacentral:rRNA from 1 species
UACGUAGGUGGCAAGCGUUGUCCGGAUUUACUGGGCGUAAAGCGUGUGUAGGCGGACCUUUAAGUAGAAAGUGAAAGGUAGGAGCUCAACUCCUACAUUGCUCUCUAUACUGGAGGUCUUGAGUGUCGGAGAGGAAGAUGGAACUGCACGUGUAGCGGUGAAAUGCGUUGAGAUGUGCAGGAACACCAAUGGCGAAGGCAAUCUUCUGGACGAAAACUGACGCUGAGACACGAAAGCCAAGGUAGCAAAC